UUAAAUUCUUCGCGUAUAAAACAGUCACAUUUCGUUCUCACAUCUCGAAGCGCUAACAUAACAGAUAUUUACGAGAAAAUCGGAUACUCAGACAUGUAUACUUUUAAUAUCCAUACGCAAUUGAUAUCUUGGAUCUGCAUAGGAUCUGCGAUCUAUUCCAUAUUUUAAUACUCGACUUAGUCCAUGUCUAUACAUAGCAACGAAUCAUGGACUCGCACAUAGGCCGUUAUAAUAAACUUUCUGGUAUACGUGCGGAUGCAAAUUAUGCGCUUGGUAGCGAUCUUAUAUUCCAAACAAUCAAUGUCACGUAGUAUAAUCGCGCGAGAAGAAAACAAUUUUCCGUCUCAUCGCUCGUCAUCAAGCGCGACCUCUCAAGAGUUAAACAUCGCGGAAGAUUGUGGAUCGGGAAGAGGUAAAACAGAGAAAAAAAACGAAGAAAGCGGAUGAGGCGAUAGGUAUUAAAUAAUGACGAGCUCUCGCACUUCACGCAUAUUCCGUUCACGUACACCGGUAUGCUACGCCGUCACCGCCACCGCCGCCGCCGUGCGACACGCAGCAUGCGUGUCCUCGUGGGGCGUGAAACACUUGAAAAUCCCAGUUAUGUAAAACAUAGGAAAACGGCUCUCCGCAUGCAGGACCGUCGCGUCGCGUCGCGUCGCGUCGCGUCGGAACGUUAGGUGGAACGCGUAAUUGAAAGCACUUUAGAGACCCUAGCGGCACGCACAACGAGCUACUCACAUUUGCAUUCAGUGGCGGAGGGAAUGCCUUUUAACCGAAAUGACUGCGUGUGUAUGACAAACGCCGGGGUUUAUGUGCCGGAACGAUGGGAAUAUUUAUUGGCGCGAAUUAAUGUCUCCACUCGGCCAUAUACCGCGUUCGGCGCGCACAUUUAUGCAUAUACGAUAUAUUAAAUACAUAUUUAUCGGGAUGAUUUCGCGAAUGCGCGUUAUGUGACCUAUCGGGAGAAUAAAAAUCCUACUUACAGCAAAAAAUCAUUUGUGCAAAUCGUAGGGCAUGUCUAUUUAUGUGGAUUCAUCGUGCCGUUUAUAUGCAAUUUGACAUUGACUUGUUAUAAGCAAGAGAAUUUCGUUUCGCAGUUGAGUGAUCGAAAAUUUGACACAAAAAUCAU